rnacentral:ncRNA from 2 species
AUACCUUUGCACCCGCAAGGUUCGGACUUGGAAUCACUUUUCCAAGCCGAUUAAUAGGGAAUGCCGUGAAAAUCGGCGACAGUACCUGCUGCUGUGAGUUUCAGCCCCCGACCGGGCAACUUCGCGCACUCUUUGCCACUGGCUAUAUCGCUGGGAAGGCGUUGCGGAGGAAACGAGUCAGAAGACCUGCCUUGACAAUCAGGAUUUA